rnacentral:rRNA from 1 species
UACGUAGGUGGCAAGCGUUGUCCGGAUUUACUGGGCGUAAAGAGCGCGCAGGCGGUCGUGCAAGUCGGGUGUGAAAGCCCCCGGCUCAACUGGGGAGGGUCACGCGAUACUGCUCGACUCGAAGGCAGGAGAGGGAAGUGGAAUUCCCGGUGUAGUGGUGAAAUGCGUAGAUAUCGGAAAGAACACCGAUGGCGAAGGCACUUUACUGGGCUAUUACUAACGCUCAGAGACGAAAGCUAGGGUAGCAAAUGGG